UUAACUAAAACCAAAUAAGAGGUAUAUUGCUGUUAAUAAUAUUAAUGAAUUAUAAAUUCUAGUUAAA
rnacentral:tRNA from 1 species